UUCCGGUUGAUCCUGCCAGAGGUUACUGCUAUCGGAGUUCGAUUAAGCCAUGCGAGUCUAAAGGUUUCUUCGGAAACCUUGGCGGACUGCUCAGUAACACGUGGAUAACCUACCCUUGGGACUGGAAUAACCCCGGGAAACUGGGGAUAAUACCGGAUAGAUCAGGGAUGCUGGAAUGCACCUUGAUCCAAAGCUCCGGCGCCCAAGGAUGGGUCUGCGGCCUAUCAGGUAGUAGUGGGUGUAACGUACCUACUAGCCAACGACGGGUACGGGUUGUGAGAGCAAGAGCCCGGAGAUGGAUUCUGAGACACGAAUCCAGGCCCUACGGGGUGCAGCAGGCGCGAAACCUUUACAAUGUGCGAAAGCAUGAUAAGGGAACUCCGAGUGCCAGUAUCUAAUACUGGCUGUCCUUGUGCCUAAAACGCACAAGAUAGCAAGGGCCGGGUAAGACCGGUGCCAGCCGCCGCGGUAACACCGGCGGCCCGAGUGGUAGCCGCUAUUAUUGGGUCUAAAGGGUCCGUAGCCCGGUUCGAUAAGUCCUCUGGGAAAUCUGGUUGCUUAACAAUCAGACUGCCAAGGGAUACUGUCGAACUUGAGACCGGGAGAGGUAAGAGGUACUUCAGGGGUAGGAGUGAAAUCUUGUAAUCCCUGGGGGACCAUCUGUGGCGAAGGCGUCUUACCAGAACGGGUCUGACGGUGAGGGACGAAAGCUGGGGGCGCAAACCGGAUUAGAUACCCGGGUAGUCCCAGCCGUAAACGAUGCUCGCUAUGUGUCAGGUACGGUGUGACCGUAUCUGGUGCCGUAGGGAAGCCGUGAAGCGAGCCACCUGGGAAGUACGGUCGCAAGACUGAAACUUAAAGGAAUUGGCGGGGGAGCACUACAACGGGUGGAGCCUGCGGUUUAAUUGGAUUCAACGCCGGG
rnacentral:rRNA from 1 species